AAUAUUUCAUUAAAAUUAUAGUAUUAAUUAAACUAAAAUAUAGGAUUUUAAAAUUUAAAACAUUACAAUAAUUAAAAAUUAGGUAAAAAAAACUAAAAGAAUAAAAAAAUUUAGAAUUUUAAAAGUAAAAAAAAAUAAAAAAUAAAAAUCAAAACUAAAAAACAAAAAUAAAAAAACCCUACCCAAAUCCCCCUGCUCCCAUUUCCUUUCCUUUUCUCUUUCUUCUCUUUCCUCCCCACCGCCUAUUCUCAUUUUCUCCUCUUUUUUCUUCUCCCAUUUCUCUGCAAGCCUGCUCUCUUU
rnacentral:lncRNA from 1 species